rnacentral:rRNA from 1 species
UACGGAGGGUGCGAGCGUUAUCCGGAAUUACUGGGUUUAAAGGGUGCGUAGGCGGCUAUGUAAGUCAGGCGUGAAAGUUUGCGGCUCAACCGUAAAAUUGCUUUUGAUACUGCAUGGCUAGAAUUAGGAUGAGGUCAGCGGAAUGUGGCAUGUAGCGGUGAAAUGCAUAGAUAUGCCAUAGAACACCAAUUGCGAAGGCAGCUGGCUAGACCUGGAUUGACGCUGAGGCACGAAAGCGUGGGGAGCGAACAGG